GUGCCGUGGAGUGCCUGAAUGGGGCAUAAGCGGUUCAGUGCUAGUUGAAAGAUCAUUUGUUGGGAAUAUUGCCAGACAUGUCUGAUACAUUGGAUAAGUCUGUAAGAUCAUCGGAUGACUUUUAUGGAGCUCUGAGAUAAGUCAAACCAGUCCUGAGGUCUCUGCUCCUGUAGGAGAUACUCCCAACUAUUAUCCCUGGAACCUCCCAGGCUUUUCCUUUUCUCUGGAGCCCCAACAACUUCCUCUUAGGAAUUUGUCUUUCAAUCAGGUUCUCACGAUGGCAUGCUCCAUCAACGCAGGUAUCGCCAUGUCGCUUUAGAAUUGGAAAUGUUUGGAUCCACAAGGUGUAUGGAUUUUGGUCGCAAGACUUUCUAUUAACAGUCAGGCCCAACACAGCUUAGUUUAUGAAGUCUGAUUUUUCUAA